UCCAUCACAUGUCACGUCGUUUCUUCUAGCUAGGGCCUAGGGAUUCACCUUUGUAACUCCCGUUGUCCAACCUUGUUCAAUACAAUUAAUAGUUGUUCCGUUGACUGAACUGUACUCAUUCCUGCUGAAAGUUCGUUGUGAACGGAUAAGAAAACACAUCUUCCGCAGAGCCUGACGAAAUGAGACAGCCGGAAGUACGACGAAUCCAAUAUCAUGGGAGAAUUCCCAUACGGUUCAAAUGGUCGCAAGACACGGGUUCUGCCAACGAUGAAGAUUGUAGCAAGGAGCACUUUUCCCAGUCACAAUGCGUCCUCCAAACUCUUUUAAUUAUUGGCGAUGGCGCCAUCGUGAGAAUACCGAAGUCAAAGAAUGCAACAUGCUGUCAAGCAAACAACUCUGUACGCUCACCAGAGAGUGGGCUGAGGCCGAGGUACAACAAUGCAAGAGACAUCCAAGUACUUAGUUGAACUUUGUAUGACACCACUCACCAGUUGACAUCAGAGUCUCACUAUCCAGGAGGAUGAGGGUGGGCUGACUCAACAGAAGACACUGUCGUCACAAUGCGCCUAGGCCAGUUCUUUCUCAGUGAAGGUUUUUGCAGCCAUGGCUACACCAGAUGAAGCCCCAACAACAGCAGCAGCAGCAACAGUCAUUUGGUCUGACUAACUCAGCCUUCAAAUUUACAUACGCAUUAUAAAUGUCACUAUCGUCAGACGGCAACAAGCUGUGGAAACAACCCAAAGAGGACAUGAACCCCAAAAGAGGAGAUGUAUAGCCCGGGAAGAGAGUGUGAAGUGCAGAGCACAGCAACCAAGCAUUAUAAAUUUCAUAAUCGUCAGAUGGCAACAAGCUGUGGAAACAAACCAAAGAAGACUUGAACCAAAAGAGGAGAGGUGUGACACGAGAAGAUAGUGCGGAGUGCGGCAACCAAUGCAGUUCACUUCGCCGACUGAUCCUUUGAAUUCGGAGCAGUGCGCCCAAAACUCCACCAGAAGAGUCCAUGCGCUGGAGUGCCAGUUUACUGGGGGAAACAGGCCACCAUGGAAAGGUUGAGUGCAGUCCUUCCAGGUAGCCCUUCUUAAGAAAUGUAUUGACGAUGGAUCGCUACCGCAACUGACAACCUCAACGUCUCCUCAAUUCGCCAUGCCUUAACAACAGAGUACAUGUGCCCGCUCUGGAAUUGGUCGUGCAAGGUGAGGCAGUUCCAGAUCACGAGGAGUUCAGCAAGCUGGAACCGAAGUGACCGAGAGACAGAUGACGGUUCGUGGGGAAUGUGGCAUGACAAGUGCCACCAAUGUCACGUACACUGACGAAGGGAAAGGAGGAGGAUGGUGUGUUGAUGAUGAGAAUAUAAUAUACACGAGGAAAUCAAGGAUAUCCAAACCUUGAACCUUCCAAGCUGAAAGGCUGUUGGUUUGCGCGCUGGAGAUGUGUUAGAGCUAGGUGUCAGGUCGUUGAAUGUCUCAGUAACCUGUCAGUUUUGUACUUAGUUAUCACACCUUCUGACCGCUUAUCUUGUAGCAGUAGUAGACUGUUGCUCAUAAUUUGUAACAAAAACCCAUGUUUCCUUUCUCAUUUUUAAAUCGAGGAUAUACAAUAAUUCAGUUCUAGUAUUUCGUCCAUAGUACCGUGCAUGUAUGACAAUACUUGUACUUGGUUCAGAAUCAUAAUAGAAUAGAAUACUCAAUGAUGCAGACAGUCAGAAUAUACAGGAGGAAAUCAAGGAUAUACAUGUACAAUCAGAUCUAACAGUCCUUCACUUCCUUUCCCCAAGAGACUCCCUUUGAUAGGCAUCCAUUUGCUCCUGGAGAAUUAUUAUUAUUAUUAUUAUUAUUUUCACUAGUUUGAGGGAAAGAGACAAAAAUUAUUAUUAUUAUUAUUAUUAUUAUUCCACAAUCACGAUGACAUAGUGCCAAUAAGCAUGUGAUGCGGGCGAAUCCUUGAAAAUAUAAUGUCAAUAUCUAGUCAUAGUACAUUACGUUGUAUGACUAUACGUGGUUCAGUGUGGUACAUUGCGCUACCAGUUUCAGGAAAUUGUUGGUGUUUACUUUCAUUUAUAUGUAGCGUUUGCUCUGAACUGUUCUUUUUUUCUUUUCUUUAUUUCUCCAACUUCUUCCCAUGGCGUCCCUGUCUCAGUUCCUCAGCUGACAACGCUAACACUGUCGUGAGAAUGUGCUCGCUGUAGACG